AUGAAGAGCCUGAUCCUUCUUGCCAUCCUGGCCGCCUUAGCGGUAGUAACUUUGUGUUAUAAUCACAUGAAAGCAUGGAAUCUUAUGAACUUAUCCCUUCAUUAACAGGAGAAAUGCAAAUACCUUCAUAUCCCCUCAGCAGAGAUGGAGAGCUAAAGUCCAAGAGAGAUCCGAGAACGCUCUAAGCCUGUCCACGAGCUCAAUAGGGAAGCCUGUGAUGACUACAGACUUUGCGAACGCUACGCCAUGGUUUAUGGAUACAAUGCUGCCUAUAAUCGCUACUUCAGGAAGCGCCGAGGGACCAA
rnacentral:lncRNA from 1 species